rnacentral:lncRNA from 1 species
AUGGGCCAAGUGCUAAAUGGGGCACCAAAGAUCCAACAGGGACUAAGAAUCAGGAGUCAGGCUGGGGCAGAGGACACAGCCACAGGCUGUGACAGAUGGCACUCUGAUCACAGAUGGGGACUGGCUGUGCAGCCCUGGGCUGCCGUGCUGUCUCUGCACCUCUGUUUCCUCCCCUGGGGAAUGGGCCUUGUGAGCUGCCUAGACCCUCACCUGGCUACAGGGAGGUGGUCGUGGCCUCCCUCCCUGAUGUGGGUGGAGCACAGCCCAAGCCCCCCAGGCAGAGGCCAGUCUACGAGGGCCACCAGUGAAUGUCCCGGAGCCCAGAGCUGCUGGCUGCUGGCAUGGUCCCAUGCUGGGCGGGCCCUGGAAUGCAGCCGCGGACACAAUCGGGUGGUCAGCUCAUGCCCCAGAUACACAGGCAUGGCACGUCACCCCAAGGACGGGGGCUGGAGGAAAACCCCGCCCCUCCUGUCUCCUCCUCCCUCCCACUCCAGGGAGAGGCAGCUGCAUCUCUGGGAGUUUCCACAGCGGCCCCGGCUGCCCACCCACCAGACCGUCAACCUUGGUGCCUGGCACGGGCUGCUGUCCAUCCUGCCAGGGGCGGCCGCUGCCAGGGGAGCCUGCCCACCCUCACGUCGUCACUCGGCCAUGAGGCACCAGCUUGACACAAACAUGAACUGGUCAGGAAGAGCCAAUUCAGGUCACCCUCAGAGACGGCUCCGGGCUCAGACCAUGCAGGCCCUGUGGGAAAUCUUAUCUGGGGUGUUGCCAAGUACCAAGGAACCUAUUGGUCCCUUCCCCGCUGCCCCAUUGGUUUAUCUAUUGCAGCCUAUCUUUUCCUGCUCCCAUGUCCCCCUCAGCCUUCAGAAAGACCCUUCGAGACGGGAUUCAAGAACGCCACCCCAGAUGGACAUGUGGCAGGUCGAUUCGAGAGCUUGGGAACUGGUCAGACAGCCUGGGUCCCAUCUUGGCACUGCCACUCUUGGGCUGUGUGACCCUGGGCAUGUUGCCUGCCCUGUCUGA